CUUACCAACCCGAUGCAAACUGCGAAUACCGGAGAAUGUUAUCACGGGAGACACACGGCGGGUGCUAACGUCCGUCGUGAAGAGGGAAACAACCCAGACCGCCAGCUAAGGUCCCAAAGUCAUGGUUAAGUGGGAAACGAUGUGGGAAGGCCCAGACAGCCAGGAUGUUGGCUUAGAAGCAGCCAUCAUUUAAAGAAAGCGUAAUAGCUCACUGGUCGAGUCGGCCUGCGCGGAAGAUGUAACGGGGCUAAACCAUGCACCGAAGCUGCGGCAGCGACACUAUGUGUUGUUGGGUAGGGGAGCGUUCUGUAAGCCUGUGAAGGUGGCCUGUGAGGGUUGCUGGAGGUAUCAGAAGUGCGAAUGCUGACAUAAGUAACGAUAAAGCGGGUGAAAAGCCCGCUCGCCGGAAGACCAAGGGUUCCUGUCCAACGUUAAUCGGGGCAGGGUGAGUCGACCCCUAAGGCGAGGCCGAAAGGCGUAGUCGAUGGGAAACAGGUUAAUAUUCCUGUACUUGGUGUUACUGCGAAGGGGGGACGGAGAAGGCUAUGUUGGCCGGGCGACGGUUGUCCCGGUUUAAGCGUGUAGGCUGGUUUUCCAGGCAAAUCCGGAAAACCAAGGCUGAGGCGUGAUGACGAGGCACUACGGUGCUGAAGCGACAAAUGCCCUGCUUCCAGGAAAAGCCUCUAAGCAUCAGGUAACAUCAAAUCGUACCCCAAACCGACACAGGUGGUCAGGUAGAGAAUACCAAGGCGCUUGAGAGAACUCGGGUGAAGGAACUAGGCAAAAUGGUGCCGUAACUUCGGGAGAAGGCACGCUGAUAUGUAGGUGAAGCGACUUGCUCGUGGAGCUGAAAUCAGUCGAAGAUACCAGCUGGCUGCAACUGUUUAUUAAAAACACAGCACUGUGCAAACACGAAAGUGGACGUAUACGGUGUGACGCCUGCCCGGUGCCGGAAGGUUAAUUGAUGGGGUUAGCGGUAACGCGAAGCUCUUGAUCGAAGCCCCGGUAAACGGCGGCCGUAACUAUAACGGUCCUAAGGUAGCGAAAUUCCUUGUCGGGUAAGUUCCGACCUGCACGAAUGGCGUAAUGAUGGCCAGGCUGUCUCCACCCGAGACUCAGUGAAAUUGAACUCGCUGUGAAGAUGCAGUGUACCCGCGGCAAGACGGAAAGACCCCGUGAACCUUUACUAUAGCUUGACACUGAACAUUGAGCCUUGAUGUGUAGGAUAGGUGGGAGGCUUUGAAGUGUGGACGCCAGUCUGCAUGGAGCCGACCUUGAAAUACCACCCUUUAAUGUUUGAUGUUCUAACGUUGGCCCGUAAUCCGGGUUGCGGACAGUGUCUGGUGGGUAGUUUGACUGGGGCGGUCUCCUCCUAAAGAGUAACGGAGGAGCACGAAGGUUGGCUAAUCCUGGUCGGACAUCAGGAGGUUAGUGCAAUGGCAUAAGCCAGCUUGACUGCGAGCGUGACGGCGCGAGCAGGUGCGAAAGCAGGUCAUAGUGAUCCGGUGGUUCUGAAUGGAAGGGCCAUCGCUCAACGGAUAAAAGGUACUCCGGGGAUAACAGGCUGAUACCGCCCAAGAGUUCAUAUCGACGGCGGUGUUUGGCACCUCGAUGUCGGCUCAUCACAUCCUGGGGCUGAAGUAGGUCCCAAGGGUAUGGCUGUUCGCCAUUUAAAGUGGUACGCGAGCUGGGUUUAGAACGUCGUGAGACAGUUCGGUCCCUAUCUGCCGUGGGCGCUGGAGAACUGAGGGGGGCUGCUCCUAGUACGAGAGGACCGGAGUGGACGCAUCACUGGUGUUCGGGUUGUCAUGCCAAUGGCACUGCCCGGUAGCUAAAUGCGGAAGAGAUAAGUGCUGAAAGCAUCUAAGCACGAAACUUGC
rnacentral:rRNA from 1 species